AUAUGGUAUAGUAAGAAAUUGAGUCUUCAUCAUCUCAAGAUUUGAAAAUAUCCAGCCUAUAUCAAGCAACAGUAGGUAGACAUGUUAGAGGCUAGAUCUAUGAGAGCUCAUUUCAUAUGAUAUCCUAAAGAGUUUGGGAUACUACUUUUUCUUUUCAAAGGAUCACAAUGUGAUUGUGAGCCAUCAUGCUAUCUUUCUGAAAAAAUAGUUUAUUCAAGAUGAAGUAGUAGGAGAAAAGUUGAGCUCGA
rnacentral:lncRNA from 1 species